rnacentral:SRP_RNA from 1 species
GAAUGCUGCGACGGUGCGGACGUUAUAACCGCGACUCCCGUACCCAGCCCCGAGCCGACAUCAACCGCUAUGUAACAAACGUCCCACCGAAUGUGCAGACCAAGACUCUUUUGGAUCGGAUUCUCUGUCGAACCUUUCUCGCGUUCAACAGCCUGAAUUCCCCCGCGG